rnacentral:rRNA from 1 species
AGAGUUUGAUCCUGGCUCAGAAUGAACGCUGGCGGCGUGCUUAACACAUGCAAGUCGAACGAGAAAGUCCGAAGCUUGCUUUGGGCGAGUAAAGUGGCGCACGGGUGAGUAACGCGUGGGUAAUCUACCUUUGAAUUUGGGAUAACACUUCGAAAGGGGUGCUAAUACCGGAUAAUAUCUUUUUCAUUGCGGUGGAGAAGAUCAAAGAUGGCCUCUUCUUGAAAGCUAUUGUUUGAAGAUGAGCCCGCGUACCAUUAGCUUGUUGGUGGGGUAAUGGCCUACCAAGGCGACGAUGGUUAGCUGGUCUGAGAGGAUGAUCAGCCACACUGGAACUGGAACACGGUCCAGACUCCUACGGGAGGCAGCAGUGAGGAAUUUUGCGCAAUGGGGGAAACCCUGACGCAGCAACGCCGCGUGAGUGAUGAAGGCUUUCGGGUCGUAAAGCUCUGUCAAGUGGGAAGAAGUUGUGUAUGGCUAAUAUCUGUGCACAUUGACGGUACCACUGAAGGAAGCACCGGCUAACUCCGUGCCAGCAGCCGCGGUAAUACGGAGGGUGCAAGCGUUAUUCGGAUUUACUGGGCGUAAAGGGCGCGUAGGCGGCUUGAUAAGUCAGUCGUGAAAGCCCGGGGCUCAACCCCGGAAGUGCGAUUGAAACUAUCAGGCUUGAGUAUGGUAGAGGGAAGUGGAAUUCCAGGUGUAGCGGUGAAAUGCGUAGAUAUCUGGAGGAACACCGGUGGCGAAGGCGACUUCCUGGACCAAUACUGACGCUGAUGCGCGAAGGUGUGGGUAGCAAACAGGAUUAGAUACCCUGGUAGUCC